rnacentral:rRNA from 1 species
GACGAACCGAGCGAGCGUUGUUCGGAAUCACUGGGCUUAAAGGGCGCGUAGGCGGGCUGUCAAGUCUGGGGUGAAAUCCCGCGGCUCAACCGUGGAACUGCCUCAGAUACUGACGGUCUCGAGGGAGGUAGGGGCGAGCGGAACUGAUGGUGGAGCGGUGAAAUGCGUUGAUAUCAUCAGGAACUCCGGUGGCGAAGGCGGCUCGCUGGACCUCUUCUGACGCUGAGGCGCGAAAGCCAGGGGAGCAAACGGG